AACGAACGCUGGCGGCAGGCUUAACACAUGCAAGUCGAGCGCCCCGCAAGGGGAGCGGCAGACGGGUGAGUAACGCGUGGGAAUCUACCCAUCUCUACGGAAUAACGCAUGGAAACGUGUGCUAAUACCGUAUACGUCCUUCGGGAGAAAGAUUUAUCGGAGAUGGAUGAGCCCGCGUUGGAUUAGCUAGUUGGUAGGGUAAAGGCCUACCAAGGCGACGAUCCAUAGCUGGUCUGAGAGGAUGAUCAGCCACACUGGGACUGAGACACGGCCCAGACUCCUACGGGAGGCAGCAGUGGGGAAUAUUGGACAAUGGGCGCAAGCCCGAUCCAGCCAUGCCGCGUGAGUGAUGAAGGCCCUAGGGUUGUAAAGCUCUUUCACCGGUGAAGAUAAUGACGGUAACCGGAGAAGAAGCCCCGGCUAACUUCGUGCCAGCCGCCGCAGUAAAAC
rnacentral:rRNA from 1 species